rnacentral:rRNA from 1 species
AUUGAACGCUGGCGGCAGGCCUAACACAUGCAAGUCGAGCGAGCGGCGGACGGGUGAGUAAUGUAUGGGGACUGCCCGAUAGAGGGGGAUAACUACUGGAAACGGUGGCUAAUACCGCAUACUAUCGGAUAACCCAUAUGGGAUUAGCAAGUGGGUGGGGUAAAGACUCACCUAGGCGACGAUCUCUAGCUGGUCUGAGAGGAUGAGCAGCCAAACUGUGACUGAGACACAGCCCAGACUCCUACGGAGGCAGCAGUGUGGAAUAUUGCACAAGGGGCGCAAACCUGAUGCAGCCAUGCCGGGUGUAUGAAGAAGGCCUUAGGGUUGUAAAGUACUUUCAGCGGGGAGGAGUUACCCGCAGAAGAAGCACCGGCUAACUCCGUGCCAGCAGCCGCGGUAAUAC